rnacentral:lncRNA from 1 species
CUCAGCUGCUUGGUAUAACCCUAAAAUCUCUUUGUUCCUCUCACUUGCAUUGCUUCUACAGUCAGCCCCUGAUAUUACUUCUCCAUGAUGAUACCAAUCCUCCCGCAGCUUGUAACUCAAAUCCAUUCCCCUAGUUACUAGAUGAUCAACAACAACAUCGGCUGAGUGACGAUCUACAUUGCGACAGUCUAUGCAUGGGCAAAUGACCAACUCACACUCUGCUAAAUCUGCACCAACACACCUCACAAACUCCCACGCACCUCUCUCAUAACGAGGAUCAGCUCUUCGGUUAAGACACAUGAAAGCAUAAUUUUAACCCUUUUAAUCACACAAGAAACACAAAAAACAGUAACUAUAAUAUUUAUUGUUUUUCCUUACAUGUUUAGAUGAACCCAUGACUUUUCGACCAUUUUUAUGUUCUAAGUUUCUAACCGAUAACCAACAAAAUAAAACAAACCCAUAAGAGUAUGUCAAACACCAAACACGCACAUUGUCAUUCACAUAAGAACCAAUAAACAAUCAACUACUCAAUCGUCAAACAAUCAGAUACUAAAACUCACACAAUCAACACACAAUAUAAAAUGGUCGAAAAAGAAUCACCUCAAUAAGAUCCUUCAGAUUUCAACUCGACUUCACUCCA